GUGGGCCCGCACAACGGACUUUGACAAUUUCAGACGGUCUGUUACUCGGAGAUCAGAGGAGAGGACACGUUCUUUCCAUACCGUUCCGAUCCUGUUGUGCUGUUUAUGAUUUUUUAUAUGAUUUUUUAUAUGAUUUUUUAAUGAAAAUAUGUAAUCUUUUUUGUAAUAACGUACGGUAAUAUUAAUGGCUGCAGGCGCCGACCGGCAUUACGAAGUGGAAUAGCUGCGGACAGAGCCCCCUCUGUUCCUCUGUUCCUUCCGGCGGCAGCAGACAACUCGUGGGGAGCUUUAAAGAAGGGCAGUCGCCAAUUCCCGAGAGUCCCAGCCGUCUCGGCUAUCGAUGCUGCCGCCGUUCUCUUUUUACCGAACGUCUCGCUACACUACUCACCAUUAUCAAUUCAUUGGCUGCCGCAGGCAAGGUAAGGCUGGAAGCCAACGGUCUGCAGGUUUGAUUCUUCGAUCGGAUUCCGACGAGGCUGUCGUUGAUGCCUAUUCCAUGGAGUUCUCUCAACGGCAUCAGGUUACGUACUGCGAAAUUCCGGCGGGAACGGCCGGAGGAGGGGACUGAACCAGCACGCUUCGGAGCUGAAGGUUCCCUUUACUUGGGGAUAAG
rnacentral:lncRNA from 1 species